rnacentral:rRNA from 1 species
AGCGAACGCUGGCGGCAGGCCUAACACAUGCAAGUCGAGCGCCGUAGCAAUACGGAGCGGCAGACGGGUGAGUAACGCGUGGGAACGUGCCCUUUAGUUCGGAAUAACCCAGGGAAACUUGGGCUAAUACCGGAUACGCCCUUCGGGGGAAAGAUUUAUCGCUAAAGGAUCGGCCCGCGUAAGAUUAGCUAGUUGGUGAGGUAACGGCGCACCAAGGCUAUGAUCUUUAGCUGUUCUGAGAGGAAGAUCAGCCACACUGGGACUGAGACACGGCCCAGACUCCUACGGGAGGCAGCAGUGGGGAAUAUUGGACAAUGGGCGCAAGCCUGAUCCAGCCAUGCCGCGUGAGUGAUGAAGGCCUUAGGGUUGUAAAGCUCUUUUACCAGGGAAGAUAAUGACGGUACCUGGAGAAUAAGCCCCGGCUAACUUCGUGCCAGCCGCCGCCGUAAAAC